CCGAUCGCGGAUAUAUGCGCACUGGAAGGAGAGCGGGUUGGUUAGUCCAACCGUUGGAGGGCAGCCGUGAAACCCUCAACUGUCUUUUGACAUGCAGUUACCUCGUCCAGAUGGUUCCACUCAACUAUUGUUUUUGGAAAAAAAGAGUUUUUACGAAUGUCUGUUUUGCAGUCUAUUAAUUUAUACGAUCUGCUAUUUCUGGUUUCUUGUCUUUCCACUAUGUUUGAAUAUUGGAAGUCACUAAAGUUUUUUGCUUUCACUUGGCGUUUAUUUCUUGUCUUUUGUAGAUAAUCUGUUGGAUCAAUAGCCGGCACCAAUCCCUCAACCACUUUGUAGAACAUAGUCAGCCUC
rnacentral:lncRNA from 1 species